rnacentral:lncRNA from 1 species
AAUGAAGAUCUGUACUGCAGAAAUGCAAACCUAAUGUCCUACUAUUUUUUUACAUGGUAGGGUCCUCAAGGGGAACCAGGACCUCCUGGUCAGCAAGGAAUUCCAGGCCCACAAGGGCUUCCUGGUCCUCAAGGUCCUAUUGGACCUCCUGGUGAAAAAGGACCACAGGGCAAGCCUGGCCUCCCUGGCCUUCCCGGUUCUGAUGGGCCUCCUGUAAGUAAAGAAAUAUUUAAUCCUUUGAAUGUUUAACUACUUUUACUAAGUGAUAAAUACUUCUG